CUCGCCUUGGUGUAGUUGGUUUAUCACGUCGGGCUGUAAUUGCGCAUCAUACCUGAAGGUCCGCGGUUCGAUUCCGCGAGGCGAGA